UACGGGAGGCAGCAGUGGGGAAUAUUGCACAAUGGGCGCAAGCCUGAUGCAGCCAUGCCGCGUGUAUGAAGAAGGCCUUCGGGUUGUAAAGUACUUUCAGUCGUGAGGAAGGUGUUAAGGUUAAUAACCUUAGCAAUUGACGUUAGCGACAGAAGAAGCACCGGCUAACUCCGUGCCAGCAGCCGCGGUAAUACGGAGGGUGCGAGCGUUAAUCGGAAUUACUGGGCGUAAAGGGCACGCAGGCGGUUAAUUAAGUUGGAUGUGAAAUCCCCGGGCUUAACCUGGGAAUGGCAUUCAAGACUGGUUAGCUAGAGUCUUGUAGAGGGGGUAGAAUUCCGAUGUGUAGCGGUGAAAUGCGUAGAGAUGUGGAGGAAUACCGGUGGCGAAGGCGGCCCCUGGGACAAAGACUGACGCUCAUGUGCGAAAGCGUGGGGAGCAAACAGGGAUUAGAUA
rnacentral:rRNA from 1 species